rnacentral:rRNA from 1 species
AGUGAACGCUGGCGGUAGGCCUAACACAUGCAAGUCGAACGGCAGCACAGGAGAGCUUGCUCUCUGGGUGGCGAGUGGCGGACGGGUGAGGAAUACAUCGGAAUCUACUCUGUCGUGGGGGACAACGUAGGGAAACUUACGCUAAUACCGCAUACGACCUACGGGUGAAAGCAGGGGAUCUUCGGACCUUGCGCGAUUGAAUGAGCCGAUGUCGGAUUAGCUAGUUGGCGGGGUAAAGGCCCACCAAGGCGACGAUCCGUAGCUGGUCUGAGAGGAUGGUCAGCCACACUGGAACUGAGACACGGUCCAGACUCCUACGGGAGGCAGCAGUGGGGAAUAUUGGACAAUGGGCGCAAGCCUGAUCCAGCCAUACCGCGUGGGUGAAGAAGGCCUUCGGGUUGUAAAGCCCUUUUGUUGGGAAAGAAAUCCAGCUGGCUAAUACCCGGUUGGGAUGACGGUACCCAAAGAAUAAGCACCGGCUAACUUCGUGCCAGCCGCCGCCGUAA